UACGUAGGGGGCAAGCGUUGUCCGGAUUUAUUGGGCGCAAAGAGCGUGUAGGCGGCCAGGCAGGUCCGUUGUGAAAACUCGAGGCUCAACCUCGAGACGUCGAUGGAAACCGUCUGGCUAGAGUCCGGAAGAGGAGAGUGGAAUUCCUGGUGUAGCGGUGAAAUGCGCAGAUAUCAGGAAGAACACCUAUGGCGAAGGCAGCUCUCUGGGACGGUACUGACGCUGAGACGCGAAAGCGUGGGGAGCGAACAGG
rnacentral:rRNA from 1 species